UGCACUUCAGGAUAGAUCAUCUUUUAGGAAGGAACCUCAUUGAGAACCUCACAGUGUU
rnacentral:sRNA from 1 species